GGCCUAGUGGUGAAAUGGUAUCACAUUUGCUACUUGUAAACCCGGAGGGAUGAUGUAUUCAGCAGAAGGUCCUUGUUCGAUUCAAGGCUGGGCCA